rnacentral:rRNA from 1 species
CCUACGGGAGGCAGCAGUGGGGAAUCUUGCGCAAUGGGCGAAAGCCUGACGCAGCCAUGCCGCGUGAAUGAUGAAGGUCUUAGGAUUGUAAAAUUCUUUCACCGGGGACGAUAAUGACGGUACCCGGAGAAGAAGCCCCGGCUAACUUCGUGCCAGCAGCCGCGGUAAUACGAAGGGGGCUAGCGUUGCUCGGAAUUACUGGGCGUAAAGGGAGCGUAGGCGGAUAGUUUAGUCAGAGGUGAAAGCCCAGGGCUCAACCUUGGAAUUGCCCUUGAUACUGGCUAUCUUGAGUACGGAAGAGGUAUGUGGAACUCCGAGUGUAGAGGUGAAAUUCGUAGAUAUUCGGAAGAACACCAGUGGCGAAGGCGACAUACUGGUCCGUUACUGACGCUGAGGCUCGAAAGCGUGGGGAGCAAACAGGAUUAGAUACCCUGGUAGUCCACGCUGUAAACGAUGAGUGCUAGUUGUCGGCAUGCAUGCAUGUCGGUGACGCAGCUAACGCAUUAAGCACUCCGCCUGGGGAGUACGGUCGCAAGAUUAAAACUCAAAAGAGUAGUACGGACGUCGAGACGUAGUCGACCGACGGACCACCGACGGGAGGGUUAGAGG